rnacentral:lncRNA from 1 species
UCUUACAGUCACCAACCGAAAUUAACAAAUAUCACAUAGCAAAAUUCUUAUAUUUUCAAAUGCUUAAAAGAACCUUUCGUCAUAGUAUACUCCUCGAAAGGGUUUUUAUAUGUCCAAAAAAAUACAUGAACAAUGUUGAAAAAUGAAGUUCUAACAAACUGCACUGUUGUAGCCGAAUACAACUGAGAAAAUGCAGAUUUUCAGUUCGAAUAUGGCCUGGAUCAAUCAACACUUCAAACAUUAAUAUUAUCAAUUAUGAACACAUAAUUAACACCAAAUUAAUCUCCACAAAUUCACACUUCAAUUACACAUCGAAUAUUCAUAACAUCAAUUAUGAACACAUAAGUACAUCAAAA